rnacentral:misc_RNA from 1 species
ACCAUAAACGUUGUCCACGCGUCCUACAAUAACAGUCCCCAUAAUGGAGUCAUCAGUAAAAUUGAAGAGGUAUCAAUAUGUAAACAUGCAUACUGAACUGACAUGCUUCUUCCAAUUCCAUGUUAUCGGCUAAUUAUUCACUAAUCAGAAAAAUUUUUGAAAUUUCAGACUCUAAAUGGGAAGAUGGAUAGCCAAUGGUUGUAUUGCUAUGUCAUUGUUGAAUUAAAUUCAAAAAGACGACUGCAUAACUAAGAACUAGAAGAACUGACAGUCACUUAGAGUCUGAUAUAGCUUUAUUUCGUCUAAAACGAAGAAACCAGACUAGUCUUCGAAAACAGAAAGCAAAAUUGAUGCCAAUGACAAAAGAUUUAAUAAGGAAACUAAGUUUCCACUUUCAAGAAUCACAGAAAUAAGAAAAUAAAAUGAAAACACAUACCAGUAGUAGGCCAGAACUUGGCA